rnacentral:rRNA from 1 species
CCUACGGGAGGCAGCAGUGAGGAAUAUUGGUCAAUGGGCGAGAGUCUGAACCAGCCAAGUCGCGUGAUGGAUGACUGCCCUAUGGGUUGUAAACUUCUUUUAUAUGGGAAUAAAAUGUUCCACGUGUGGGAUUUUGUAUGUAACAUAUGAAUAAGGAUCGGCUGACUCCGGGCCAGCAGCCGCGGGAAUACGGAGGAUCCGAGCGUUAUCCGGGUUUAUUUGGUUUAAAGGGAGCGUAGGUGGAUAUUUAAGUCAGGUGGGAAAGUUUGCGGCUCAACCGUAAAAGUGCAGUUGAAACUGGUAGUCUUGAGUGCAGGAGAGGUAGGCGGAAUGCGUGGUGUAGCGGUGAAAUGCUUAGAUAUCACGAAGAACUCCGAUUGCGAAGGCAGCUCACUGGACUGCAACUGACACUGAGGCUCGAAAGUGUGGGUAUCAAACAGGAUUAGAUACCCCAGUAGUC